AGGACGAACGCUGGCGGCGUGCUUAACACAUGCAAGUCGAGCGGUAAGGCCUUUCGGGGUACACGAGCGGCGAACGGGUGAGUAACACGUGGGUGAUCUGCCCUGCACUUCGGGAUAAGCCUGGGAAACUGGGUCUAAUACCGGAUAUGACCUCCUAUCGCAGUGGUGGGUGGUGGAAAGUAUUUAUCGGUGCGUAGGUUCGGGCCCGCGGCCGUAUCGAGUCGUUGGUUGGGUGGGGUAAUCGGCCCUAACGAAGGACGACGGUACGGGUACGCCGACCGUGAGG
rnacentral:rRNA from 1 species